CCUAGCGGCGGACGGGUGAGUAAUGCGUAGGAAGCUGCCCGAUAGAGGGGGAUACCAGUUGGAAACGACUGUUAAUACCGCAUAAUGUCUACGGACCAAAGUGUGGGACCUUCGGGCCACAUGCUAUCGGAUGCGCCUACGUGGGAUUAGCUAGUUGGUGAGGUAAUGGCUCACCAAGGCGACGAUCUCUAGCUGGUUUGAGAGGAUGAUCAGCCACACUGGAACUGAGACACGGUCCAGACUCCUACGGGAGGCAGCAGUGGGGAAUAUUGGACAAUGGGCGCAAGCCUGAUCCAGCCAUGCCGCGUGUGUGAAGAAGGCCUUCGGGUUGUAAAGCACUUUCAGCGAGGAGGAAGGGGUGUGUGUUAAUAGYACAYACYUUUGACGUUACUCGCAGAAGAAGCACCGGCUAACUCUGUGCCAGCAGCCGCGGUAAUACAGAGGGUGCAAGCGUUAAUCGGAAUUACUGGGCGUAAAGCGCACGUAGGCGGUUUUUUAAGUCAGAUGUGAAAGCCCCGGGCUCAACCUGGGAAUUGCAUUUGAAACUGGAAAACUAGAGUGUGUGAGAGGGGGGUAGAAUUCCAAGUGUAGCGGUGAAAUGCGUAGAGAUUUGGAGGAAUACCAGUGGCGAAGGCGGCCCCCUGGCACAACACUGACGCUCAGGUGCGAAAGCGUGGGGAGCAAACAGGAUUAGAUACCCUGGUAGUCCACGCCGUAAACGAUGUCUACUAGCUGUUCGUGGUCUUGUACUGUGAGUAGCGCAGCUAACGCACUAAGUAGACCGCCUGGGGAGUACGGUCGCAAGAUUAAAACUCAAAUGAAUUGACGGGGGCCCGCACAAGCGGUGGAGCAUGUGGUUUAAUUCGACGCAACGCGAAGAACCUUACCUACUCUUGACAUCUACGGAAGACUGCAGAGAUGCGGUUGUGCCUUCGGGAACCGUAAGACAGGUGCUGCAUGGCUGUCGUCAGCUCGUGUUGUGAAAA
rnacentral:rRNA from 1 species